rnacentral:lncRNA from 1 species
UGAUGCCCAGUGCUGCAAGAUGACCCAGUUCAGACUUGGAUUCAACAUAGUGAGAAUGAAAUCACUAUUUAUAAACAUAUAAAGUAAAUAAGGAUUUUUAAAUGAAUUUCUGAAUUCAAAAGAUAUAGAUAAAAACAGAGUUAUAGUGACUUACUAUUCUUUUUUUUUUCUUCUGUGGCAUUCCAUUCUGAAAAUCUUUUUGGUGUAGUUGUAAAAGAAAGCGUGCUGUUUGAUUUGCUGUGCAUUGCUUCUGUCAGGUAGUUAAUACAGUGCCAUCAUAAGGAAAAGUAUCCAGCAGAUAAAGACCACCAAGAAGAUAUCUGGAUUUGAACAAAGUUUUGUUUAUUAGUACCUGUCACAUCAAGACAUAGUGCACACCUUGAGGAACCAUCUGGUUAUUAGGAGAGGAUUGUUACAGGAUCUAGGUUGUGUUAGGAGAUUUUGGGGAGGCUUCACGGGAACAUAGUUUUAAUCUAUAUUGGCUACUGUCAGAACAUAGGUGUAAUUCUAGGAUUGAGUAUCCUAAUACACAAUUUAUAUUUUGGUUGCUGGAAGAAUGCAACGUGACUAAAGCUAAAACUGAUUUAACAUAUUUUAUUCCUUUUUGUUGCUAGAUUAUAGGAGUGUAUAUUGUCAAAUUCUCAUAAAUUUUUUGUCACUCCUUUGAGAGAGGAAGAUAUUUGGUCAUUUUUACAUUUUUCAGAGUAUUUUUAUUUUUUUCUUGCGUAGACAUUAUUAUCGAGUGAUUAUGUUUUUGUCUCUUUCCAUCGCGGACAAAGAGUGACUGUAUGAUGCUGAUGUUCCAUGAAAUUGUUAGGUUCAGUAAGGACCACUUCAACAUUGCUUUUUUUUUUAAUAUUUCUAAUCUUCCUACCUUUUGUGUAUUAUUCAUAGCUUCCCAACUGUACAAUGCUGAAUAGAAAUGAUAAUAGUGAGAAAACUUGUUUUAUCCCUGAUUUUAAAGAUAAUACCUGCCAUGUUUCAUUAUCAAGUCUUUUGCUGUGGGAGGUUUAUAGACAUCUUUUAUCAUAGUAAAAAUAAAGUUCCUAUUUUCAAGAUAUUUUUCUGCAGCAAUAAGAUAACCAUAAUUGUUAUUUUUGUUUCCUAUCCAAGAAACUUUUGCCUAUGUUUUCUUCUAGCUGUGUUGCAGUUUUAUACUUUAUGUUUAUAUUUAUUAUCCAUUUUGUGUUAAAUUUUAUGUAUUAUGAGAUAUUUUUCUAUAUAUCAAUGUCCAAUUGUUCCAGGACCAUUUCCAUUUAUUGAGUCUAUCCUUUCU